GCGGCGUGCCUAAUACAUGCAAGUAGAACGCUGAAGAGAGGAGCUUGCUCUUCUUGGAUGAGUUGCGAACGGGUGAGUAACGCGUAGGUAACCUGCCUGGUAGCGGGGGAUAACUAUUGGAAACGAUAGCUAAUACCGCAUAAAAUGGAUUAUCGCAUGAUAAUCCAUUGAAAGGUGCAAAUGCAUCACUACCAGAUGGACCUGCGUUGUAUUAGCUAGUUGGUGGGGUAACGGCUCACCAAGGCGACGAUACAUAGCCGACCUGAGAGGGUGAUCGGCCACACUGGGACUGAGACACGGCCCAGACUCCUACGGGAGGCAGCAGUAGGGAAUCUUCGGCAAUGGACGGAAGUCUGACCGAGCAACGCCGCGUGAGUGAAGAAGGUUUUCGGAUCGUAAAGCUCUGUUGUAAGAGAAGAACGAGUGUGAGAGUGGAAAGUUCACACUGUGACGGUAUCUUACCAGAAAGGGACGGCUAACUACGUGCCAGCAGCCGCGGUAAUACGUAGGUCCCGAGCGUUGUCCGGAUUUAUUGGGCGUAAAGCGAGCGCAGGCGGUUAGAUAAGUCUGAAGUUAAAGGCUGUGGCUUAACCAUAGUACGCUUUGGAAACUGUUUAACUUGAGUGCAAGAGGGGAGAGUGGAAUUCCAUGUGUAGCGGUGAAAUGCGUAGAUAUAUGGAGGAACACCGGUGGCGAAAGCGGCUCUCUGGCUUGUAACUGACGCUGAGGCUCGAAAGCGUGGGGAGCAAACAGGAUUAGAUACCC
rnacentral:rRNA from 1 species